rnacentral:tRNA from 1 species
AUUCUUAUUAGUUUAUUUAAAAUAUCUACUUUGGAUGUAGAAGAUUCUUUAAUC